rnacentral:rRNA from 1 species
GGUUCGAUCUGGCUCAGAUUGAACGCUGGCGGGAUGCGCCCUUUACACAUGCAAGUCGAACGGCAGCACGGACUUCGGUCCCCUGGUGGCGAAAGUGGCGAACGGGUGAGUAAUGUAUCCGGAACGUGCCUAGUAGCGGGGGAUAACUACGCGAAAGCGUAGCUAUUACCGCUUUAUACGCCCUUCGGGGGAAAGCGGGGGGACCUUCGGGCCUCGCACUAUUAGAGCGGCCGAUAUCGGAUUAGCUAGUUGGUGGGAAGUAACGGCUCACCAAGGCGACGAUCCGUAGCUGGUUUGAGAGGACGACCAGCCACACUGGGACUGAGACACGGCCCAGACUCCUACCAGGAGGCAGCAGUGGGGGAAUUUUGGACAAUGGGGGAAACCUGGUCGUAUCCCGCGUGCCACGAUGAAGGCCUUCGGGUUGUAAAGCCUUUCUGGCAGGAAAGAAACGGCACGGGAUAAUACCCGUCCUGCAACUGACGAUACCUGCAGAAUAAGCACCGGCUAACUACGUGCCAGCAGCCGCGGUAAUACGUAGGGUGCAAGCGUUAAUCCGGAAUUACUGGGCGUAAAAGUGCGCAGGCGGUUCGGAAGAAGAUAUGAAAUCCCAGAGCUUAACUUUGGAACUGCAUUUUUAACUACCGAGCUAGAGUGUGUCAGAGGAGGUGGAAUUCCCGCGAUAGUAGCAGUGAAAUGCGUAGAUAUGCGGAGGGAACACCGUGCCGAAGGCAGCCUCCUGGGAUAACAGCGCUCAUGCGGCGAUGAGGAGCAAACAGGUUAGAUACCCUGGUAGUCCGCUAAACGAUGUCAACUAGCUGUUGGGGCCUUCAGGCCUUGGUAGCGCAGCUAACGCGUGAAGUUGACCGCCUGGGGGAGUACGGUCGCAAGAUUAAAACUCAAGGUGUGUGGGGACCCGCACAAGCGGUGGAUGAUGUGGAUUAAUUCGAUGCAACGCGAAAACCUUACCUACCCUUGACAUGUCUGGAAUCCCGAAGAGAUUUGGGAGUGCUCGCAAAGAGAACCGGAACACAGGUGCUGCAUGGCUGUCGUCAGCUCGUGUCGUGAGAUGUUGGGUUAAGUCACAGCGAGCGCAGCCACUUGUCAUUAGUUGCUACGAAGAACUUUCUAAUGAGACUGCCGGUGACAAACCGGAGGAAGGUGGGGAUGACGUCAAGUCCUCAGCCCAUAUGGGUGGGGCUUGCACGUCAUGCAAUGGUCGGGACAGAGGGUCGCCAACCCGCGAGCCAAUCCCAGAAACCCGAUCGUAGUCGGAUCGCAGUCUGCAACUCGACUGCGUGAAGUCGGAAUCGCUAGUAAUCGCGGAUCAGCAUGUCACGGUGAAUACGUUCCAGGUCUUGGCACCACCGCCCGUCACACCAUGGGGUGGGUUUACCAAGAAGUAGUUAACCAGCAAGGAGGGCGAUUACCACAGUAGGGAUUCAUGACUGGGGUGAAGUCAAUAACAGGUAAG